rnacentral:rRNA from 1 species
UACGUAGGGUGCGAGCGUUAAUCGGAAUUACUGGGCGUAAAGCGUGCGUAGGCGGUUCGUUAAGUCAGCUGUGAAAGCCCUGGGCUCAACCCAGGAACUGCGUCCGAUACUGGCAGGCUUGAAUUCGGGAGAGGGAUGCGGAAUUCCAGGUGUAGCGGUGAAAUGCGUAGAUAUCUGGAGGAACACCGGUGGCGAAGGCGGCAUCCUGGACCGACAUUGACGCUGAGGCGCGAAAGCCAGGGGAGCAAACGGG